rnacentral:rRNA from 1 species
GACGAACGCUGGCGGCGUGCUUAACACAUGCAAGUCGAACGGUAAGGCCCUUCGGGGUACACGAGUGGCGAACGGGUGAGUAACACGUGGGUGAUCUGCCCUGCACUUCGGGAUAAGCCUGGGAAACUGGGUCUAAUACCGGAUAGGACUCCGGACUGCAUGGUCUGGGGUGGAAAGCUUUUGCGGUGUGGGAUGGGCCCGCGGCCUAUCAGCUUGUUGGUGGGGGGAUGGCCUACCAAGGCGACGACGGGUAGCCGGCCUGAGAGGGUGUCCGGCCACACUGGGACUGAGAUACGGCCCAGACUCCUACGGGAGGCAGCAGUGGGGAAUAUUGCACAAUGGGCGCAAGCCUGAUGCAGCGACGCCGCGUGGGGGAUGACGGCCUUCGGGUUGUAAACCUCUUUCAGCACAGACGAAGCGCAAGUGACGGUAUGUGCAGAAGAAGCACCGGCCAACUACGUGCCAGCCGCCGCCGUAA